UUAGCCUUACCGGUGGAUCACUCGGUUCGUGGAUCGAUGAAGAACGCAGCUAACUGCGAUAAUUUAUGUGAACUGCAGAAAUCUUGAGCAUAAAAGUUUUGAACGCAUAUUGCGGCAUUGGGGUCAAACCCUUUGGCACGUCUGGUUCAGGGUCAUUUUCU
rnacentral:rRNA from 1 species